rnacentral:rRNA from 1 species
CCUACGGGUGGCAGCAGUGAGGAAUAUUGGUCAAUGGGCGCGAGCCUGAACCAGCCAAGUAGCGUGAAGGAUGACUGCCCUACGGGUUGUAAACUUCUUUUAUAAAGGAAUAAAGUGAGGCACGUGUGCCUUUUUGUAUGUACUUUAUGAAUAAGGAUCGGCUAACUCCGUGCCAGCAGCCGCGGUAAUACGGAGGAUGCGAGCGUUAUCCGGAUUUAUUGGGUUUAAAGGGUGCGCAGGCGGAGGCACAAGUCAGCGGUAAAAUCGCGGGGCUCAACCCCGCUCCGCCGUUGAAACUGUGUCCCUUGAGUGCGCGAAGGGUAGGCGGAAUGCGUGGUGUAGCGGUGAAAUGCUUAGAUAUCACGAAGAACUCCGAUUGCGAAGGCAGCCUACUAAACUGUGACUGACAUUGAUGCUCGAAAGUGUGGGUAUCAAACAGGAUUAGAUACCCCGGUAGUC